UACGUAGGGCGCAAGCGUUUGUCCGGAAUCACUGGGCGUAAAGGGCGCGUAGGCGGCUCAUGAAGGCUGUGGUGAAAGUCCGGGGCUCAACCUCGGAUCGGCCGUGGCGACUCGUGGGCUGGAGCACUGUAGAGGCGGGUGGAAUUCCGGGUGUAGCGGUGGAAUGCGUAGAGAUCCGGAAGAACACCAGUGGCGAAGGCGGCCCGCUGGGCAGUGGCUGACGCUGAGGCGCGACAGCGUGGGGGAGCAAACAGG
rnacentral:rRNA from 1 species